CUCAAUGCUUUUCUGUACCUGGAUCCCUCCUGCCACAGCUGCUUACAGAACAGGAAAUCCCACCAUUCACAACUAACAGGCCCCCACGAGUGUGAGUCUGGUCAACUGAGAGCAAGGGUCUUGGAGAGGGCUGCACCAACUCUUGCCAGACCCUUUGCCAGCCAAAGUUUGGAGCCUCGCCGCCAGCAAGGAUGGGGGAACAGGUUCAAGUCCAUAAUAUGUGCUCUGAUGUGACAGGUGUGUCUUGCUGCUGAAUUGACUGUCCGAUGGGAGCUUUAGAAGGGUCUUGAUGCUCUUCAGGUCCAAACCACCAUCCGUAAACUGUGGAACACAAGUGCUCUUCUGGGCCCAGCCAAAGUGGGACCACCUAGUCCAGCAUCCUGUUCUCAGCACUGGCUGGCCAGGUGCUUCUGGGAAGUUCAUGCACAAGGCAUGAAGGCCACCCCAGGAUUAAUUGGGUCCCUCAACAUCAUUGGUGCUCUGAUAACACCAGUUUAGUCCCAUUGGAAGCUGCCUUCUUAGACCACAGAUCCAACUGGCUCACAGCUCACUACUAGAUAUGUGCACAAAAUUUCUUAUAAAGUAUCAUGUGUUUAAUGAGAUGAUCAAAAUUACGUAUUAGCACAUCACAAACCCUCCAGAACUUGCUUUACUGAAUCUGUAAUGCAACUGUGCUUCGUGGAUAAACAACUAAUUGGAUUUCUUUAAGGGGCUGCAUCUAUGGCUCUAGACACACUAUGGAAGGACUUGAA